rnacentral:rRNA from 1 species
AUUGAACGCUGGCGGCAGGCCUAACACAUGCAAGUCGAGCGGAUGAAGGGAGCUUGCUCCUGGAUUCAGCGGCGGACGGGCGAGUAAUGCCUAGGAAUCUGCCUGGUAGUGGGGGAUAACGUCCGGAAACGGGCGCUAAUACCGCAUACGUCCUGAGGGAGAAAGUGGGGGAUCUUCGGACCUCACGCUAUCAGAUGAGCCUAGGUCGGAUUAGCUAGUUGGUGGGGUAAAGGCCUACCAAGGCGACGAUCCGUAACUGGUCUGAGAGGAUGAUCAGUCACACUGGAACUGAGACACGGUCCAGACUCCUACGGGAGGCAGCAGUGGGGAAUAUUGGACAAUGGGCGAAAGCCUGAUCCAGCCAUGCCGCGUGUGUGAAGAAGGUCUUCGGAUUGUAAAGCACUUUAAGUUGGGAGGAAGGGCAGUAAGUUAAUCCCUUGCUGUUUUGACGUUACCAACAGAAUAAGCACCGGCUAACUUCGUG